rnacentral:rRNA from 1 species
GCAGUCGACGGAUGGUUUCGGCCAUCAGUGACGCACGGGCGAGUAACGCGUGGGAAUCUGCCCAGCAGUGGGGGAUAACCUCUGGAAACGGAGGCUAAUACCGCAUACGCCCCUCGGGGGAAAGGCUUGCUGCUGCUGGAGGAGCCCGCGUCGGAUUAGGUAGUUGGUGGGGUAACGGCCUACCAAGCCUGUGAUCCGUAGCUGGUCUGAGAGGAUGAUCAGCCACACUGGGACUGAGACACGGCCCAGACUCCUACGGGAGGCAGUAGUGGGGAAUAUUGGACAAUGGGCGCAAGCCUGAUCCAGCAAUGCCGCGUGAGUGAUGAAGGCCUUCGGGUUGUAAAGCUCUUUCGCCCACGACGAUGAUGAAGGUAGUGGGAGAAGAAGCCCCGGCUAACUUCGUGCCAGCAGCCGCGGUAAUACGAAGGGGGCUAGCGUUGUUCGGAAUGACUGGGCGUAAAGGGCGCGUAGGCGGCGCAUCAAGUCGGGCGUGAAAGCCCCGGGCACAACCUGGGAACUGCGUUCGAGACUGGUGUGCUGGAGUUCGGGAGAGGAGAGUGGAAUUCCCAGUGUAGAGGUGAAAUUCGUAGAUAUUGGGAAGAAC